rnacentral:lncRNA from 8 species
AUGUUUACCUGUCAUGUCCUGUCUUCCUCUCUGUUUCUCUCUUCCUCCCUCUGUCUUUAUGUUUACCUGUCAUGUCCUGUCUCCCUCUCUGUUUCUCUCUUCCUCUCUGUUUCUCUCUUCCUCUCUGUUUCUCUCUUCCUCCCUCUGUCUUUAUGUUUACCUGUCAUGUCCUGUCUUCCUCUCUGUUUCUCUCUUCCUCCCUCUGUCUUUGUUUACCUGUCAUGUCCUGUCUCCCUCUCUGUUUCUCUCUUCCUCUCUGUUUCUCUCUUCCUCUCUGUUUCUCUCUUCCUCCCCCUGUCUUUAUGUUUACCUGUCAUGUCCUGUCUCCCUCUCUGUUUCUCUCUUCCUCUCUGUUUCUCUCUUCCUCCCUCUGUCUUUAUGUUUACCUGUCAUGUCCUGUCUCCCUCUCUGUUUCUCUCUUCCUCUCUGUUUCUCUCUUCCUCCCUCUGUCUUUAUGUUUACCUGUCAUGUCCUGUCUUCCUCUCUGUUUCUCUCUUCCUCUCUGUUUCUCUCUUCCUCCCUCUGUCUUUAUGUUUACCUGUCAUGUCCUGUCUCCCUCUCUGUUUCUCUCUUCCUCUCUGUUUCCCUCUUCCUCUCUGUUUCUCUCUUCCUCCCUCUGUCUUUAUGUUUACCUGUCAUGUCCUGUCUCCCUCUCUGUUUCUCUCUUCCUCUCUGUUUCUCUCUUCCUCUCUGUUUCUCUCUUCCUCCCCCUGUCUUUAUGUUUACCUGUCAUGUCCUGUCUCCCUCUCUGUUUCUCUCUUCCUCUCUGUUUCUCUCUUCCUCCCUCUGUCUUUAUGUUUACCUGUCAUGUCCUGUCUCCCUCUCUGUUUCUCUCUUCCUCUCUGUUUCUCUCUUCCUCCCCCUGUCUUUAUGUUUACCUGUCAUGUCCUGUCUCUUAACCCUCUCUGGUUCUCUCUUCCACAGACAUGCAGAGCUCUGAGCAUCUCUAACAGGCAGCACUGUGGAACCAUGGACUCUUCUUGUUCUGAGUCCCAGUCCCAGGGCGACGGUGAGAAAGCUCUGCUCCAUGCAGAGAUCAGAGAGCACCCCACCACAUCAGGUAAGCCACUGACCUUUGGAAGGGACAGGAAGGGGUGAUGGAGGGGUGAGGCAGGGGUGAGAGGGCUCACAGGGAAACAGGCUCACGUCCUCCAACUCAACACCUCAAUAGGACAGGGAUGCAUUUGAAGGUUGUGUUACAGUAGCCAGUAGUUUGUGUUUACCUUAAACGAAUGUCAUGAAUUCCAAGUUAUAGGAAAGGAUUUCUCUGGGUAGGCCAAAGGUUUGGAGUGGGUGAAAGUUGUCUGUAACUUUGAUAUUGUUCAUCAUGUAUGGCUGAACAGUGCUGAUCUAGUUUCACACUAGCUUUAUGGUUCUACAGUGCCCUGUUUUGGUGAGCNNNNNNNNNNNNNNNNNNNNNNNNNNNNNNNNNNNNNNNNNNNNNNNNNNNNCUAUAACUGUAUCAUCCAUCACAACUCUCUAUAACUGUAUCAUCCAUCACAACUCUCUAUAACUGUAUCAUCCAUCACCCCCUCUCUAAAUUAAUCAUCCAUCACAACUCUCUAUAACUGUAUCAUCCAUCACAACUCUCUAUAACUGUAUCAUCCAUCACAACUCUCUAUAACUGUAUCAUCCAUCACCCCCUCUCUAAAUUAAUCAUCCAUCACAACUCUCUAUAACUGUAUCAUCCAUCACAACUCUCUAAAUUAAUCAUCCAUCACUCCUCUCUAUAACUGUAUCAUCCAUCACUCCUCUCUAUAACUGUAUCAUCCAUCACCCCUCUCUAUAACGCUGUCAUUAACCACAGGACGACCUUUGAACUCCUCUUAGCUGGCCUUGUGCUUUAUCACUAAACAGGUAGUUGAUGGAACUGACUGAGCAUGUAGCAAAACGUAUUGAGCUGCAGAGUUGAAGACAAUGUACUCACCGCUCAGUCAGCUUUGAUUGAAUUAAAAAGUAAAUCUAAGACUGCUUGCCUCUAAAGCUUUAUUAAUCAAAGCUGGGCCACCCCUCACCUUUCUCUAAUCAGCUAUCCUUGUAUGGGUCCUGGUCAACAAUAGUGCUCUAUAAUGGUAAUGGGAUGCCAUUAGGGACACAGCCACAGUGUACAUACUCUCAACCUAUUACAGCACAGCUGUGGCCUCUCCCUGAGGCCAGAGCCAAUGGAAUGCAUCGGUUGCUAUUUGUGCUCUUGACGGGCGGGGAUGGAGGCCGAUUGGUGCUUAGCGGGAAAGACGCCCAAACCGCCCACCCAGUGCUGUGUGUUGUCUCUGGAUGAUCCCUCCUCAUCCCUGGUACUCCUGUAAUCUCAGCUAAUCCAGGCUGCUCCCGGUGUGUGUGGAUUGUGGUAGGCGCCACUGGUGUGUGUGUGUGAGUGCAUGUGUUAAUUUGUCACUGGGUGUUAUGUUACCCCACCCCUUCUGGUGACCUGAGCAGACUCCUCCUCAUCCAUUCAGUCACCAUGCUUUUGUCAGUAUGGUGUUGUGGUCUGGUGUUGUCAGUAUGGUGUUGUGGUCUGUUGUCAGUAUGGUGUUGUGAUCUGUUGUCAGUAUGGUGUUGUGAUCUGUUGUCAGUAUGGUGUUGUGAUCUGUUGUCAGUAUGGUGCUGUGAUCUGUUGUCAGUAUGGUGUUGUGUUCUGUUGUCAGUAUGGUGCUGUGUUCUGUUGUCAGUAUGGUGCUGUGGUCUGUUGUCAGUAUGGUGUCGUGAUCUGUUGUCAGUAUGGUGCUGUGUUCUGUUGUCAGUAUGGUGCUGUGUUCUGUUGUCAGUAUGGUGCUGUGUUCUGUUGUCAGUAUGGUGUUGUGGUCUGUUGUCAGUAUGGUGUUGUGGUCUGUUGUCAGUAUGGUGUUGUGGUAUGUGUUGUCAGUAUGGUGUUGUGGUCUGUUGUCAGUAUGGUGUUGUGAUCUGUUGUCAGUAUGGUGUUGUGGUCUGUUGUCAGUAUGGUGUUGUGGUCUGUUGUCAGUAUGGUGCUGUGGUCUGUUGUCAGUAUGGUGUUGUGAUCUGUUGUCAGUGUGGUGUUGUCAGUAUGGUGUUGUGGUCUGUUGUCAGUAUGGUGUUGUCAGUGUGGUGUUGUGGUCUGUUGUCAGUAUGGUGUUGUCAGUAUGGUGUUGUGAUCUGUUGUCAGUAUGGUGUUGUGGUCUGUUGUCAGUAUGGUGUUGUGAUCUGUUGUCAGUAUGAUGCUGUGGUCUGUUGUCAGUAUGGUGUUGUGCUCUGUUGUCAGUGUGGUGUUGUGGUCUGUUGUCAGUAUGGUGUUGUCAGUAUGGUGUUGUGGUCUGUUGUCAGUAUGGUGUUGUCAGUGUGG